UGAACUUGAAGAUGAUUUACUUGGAGAAGAUUUGCUAUCUGGCAAAAAGAAUCAGUCGGAUUUGUCAGAUGAAGAGCUAAAUGAUGAUCUUUUGCAGAGUGAUAAUGAAGAUGAAGAAAAUUUCAGUUCUCAGGGUGUUACAAUUAGUCUGAAUGCUACAUCUGGCAUGGUUACAUCAUUUGAACUCUCUGACAACACUAACGACCAAUCUGGAGAACAGGAAUCUGAGUAUGAACAAGAACAAGGAGAGGAUGAACUGGUUUAUCACAAAUCUGAUGGAUCAGAAUUGUAUACUCAAGAGUACCCAGAAGAAGGACAGUAUGAAGGCCACGAAGCUGAGUUGACAGAAGACCAAAUAGAAUAUGUGGAAGAGCCAGAGGAGGAGCAGCUUUACACUGAUGAAGUGUUAGACAUCGAGAUCAAUGAACCUUUAGAUGAAUUUACA
rnacentral:circRNA from 1 species